UACGUAGGGACCAAGCGUUGUUCGGAUUUACUGGGCGUAAAGGGCGCGUAGGCGGCGCGGUAAGUCACUCGUGAAAUCUCUGAGCUUAACUCAGAACGGCCAAGUGAUACUGCAGUGCUAGAGUGUGGAAGGGGCAAUCGGAAUUCUUGGUGUAGCGGUGAAAUGCGUAGAUAUUGCUCGGAAGGCCAGAGCCGAAGGGGCCCUACUGGUGCGCAACUGACACUGAGGCACGAAAGCGUGGGGAGCAAACAGG
rnacentral:rRNA from 1 species